rnacentral:rRNA from 1 species
GAUCAUGGCUCAGUAUGAACGCUGGCGGCGUGCCUAACACAUGCAAGUCGAACGGUUAAGGCGCCUUCGGGCGCGCAUAGAGUGGCGAACGGGUGAGUAACACGUGACCAACCUGCCCCCUCCUCCGGGACAACCUCGGGAAACCGAGGCUAAUACCGGAUGGUCCCGCCGGGCCGCAUGGCCGGGCGGGGAAAGCCCAGGCGGGGAGGGGAUGGGGUCGCGGCCCAUCAGGUAGUAGGCGGGGUGACGGCCCACCUAGCUGACGACGGGUAG